AGUGAACGCUGGCGGUAGGCCUAACACAUGCAAGUCGAACGGCAGCACAGUAAGAGCUUGCUCUUACGGGUGGCGGGUGGCGGACGGGUGAGGAAUACAUCGGAAUCUACUUUUUCGUGGGGGAUAACGUAGGGAAACUUACGCUAAUACCGCAUACGACCUACGGGUGAAAGCAGGGGAUCUUCGGACCUUGCGCGAUUGAAUGAGCCGAUGUCGGAUUAGCUAGUUGGCGGGGUAAAGGCCCACCAAGGCGACGAUCCGUAGCUGGUCUGAGAGGACGAUCAGCCACACUGGAACUGAGACACGGUCCAGACUCCUACGGGAGGCAGCAGUGGGGAAUAUUGGACAAUGGGCGCAAGCCUGAUCCAGCCAUACCGCGUGGGUGAAGAAGGCCUUCGGGUUGUAAAGCCCUUUUGUUGGGAAAGAAAAGCAGCAGGUUAAUACCCCGCUGUUCUGACGGUACCCAAAGAAUAAGCACCGGCUAACUUCGUG
rnacentral:rRNA from 1 species